UAUAUUAAUACAUAUAGGUCAAAAAAAUAUUAUUGUAAAUGUUGUUUAGUAAUUUGGUAGAACAUUAGGUGGUAUAGAUAAUUUUUCUGUAAAUAUAGUAAUGGGGAUAUAUCAAAGUCAAGGUAAUUUUUUUAAAUGAAACUCUGUAUUUGUUUACUGCAAUAUAGUAACGUUUGUUGAAUACAACUGCCUGAUAUCUAUCUAUGCAGUGAAAUGUCAAAAAUUAAAUCCAAAGACGUCAGAUCAACUCAACUCUAUAGCUGACGUAACUGCAUUGAGUAACCCUCAUCAGGUUAUAUAUACUAUAAAUAAAAAUGGAACUUCUUAUUUCUUCUCAUCCGCUUUAAAUUUAUACCUUUAGUUUAUAACUAGGAAUCAGUUCAAAAGUCCUUCAGUGAGUCAGAAAGUCGAAUGGACAGUUUAAACAUUCCUUUAACCAUUUAUAACGUCGAUUUCUUAGCCGCCUUUAACAUAAGAGCUCUUUCGACUUUUGGCUUACUAAGAGCAACUGACUGCUAGAAGCUAAAAAUAUAAAUCUAAUAUGUAUAAGAAGAAAUAAGAAGUUCGAUCUCUGUUAAUGGUUUUUAUUUAGUUUACUUUUUUGUCUGCCUGGGUAAAAUUUUUGCUGAGGUAUAAAUCUAACAAUGAGAUACAUAAGGGAAAAUAAAGAGCGCGAUCUUUACCUAUAGCGCAUAAUCUAAUCAGCGAUGUUCGAUGUCGUUAUUCGAUGCAAUCGCGCCAGCUAUCGAUUUGCGUUGAUCUAACGCCUUCGGAUCUAAUUUAUGAUAUUCCACUAUGUUAUGAAUAAAAAAAUACAGAGUUCCAUUAAAAAAAAUUAACUUGACUCUGAUACUUGUAUGUUUUUGUCUUAUAUUA